rnacentral:rRNA from 1 species
UGGGGAAUAUUGCACAAUGGGCGCAAGCCUGAUGCAGCCAUGCCGCGUGUAUGAAGAAGGCCUUCGGGUUGUAAAGCACUUUCAGCGGGGAGGAAGGCGGUGAGGUUAAUAACCUCAUCGAUCGACGUUACCCGCAGAAGAAGCACCGGCUAACUCCGUGCCAGCAGCCGCGGUAAUACGGAGGGUGCAAGCGUUAAUCGGAAUUACUGGGCGUAAAGCGCACGCAGGCGGUCUGUCAAGUCGGAUGUGAAAUCCCCGGGCUCAACCUGGGAACUGCAUUCGAACCUGGCAGGCUAGAGUUGUGGAGAGGGGGGUAGAAUUCCAGGUGUGGCGGUGAAAUGCGUAGAGAUAUAGAGGAAUAACGGUGGCGAAGGCGGCCCCCUGGACAAAGACUGACGCACAGGUGCGAAAGCGUGGGGAGCAAACAGG